rfam:Cellulophaga phage phi38:1, complete genome.
UGGAGUAUGAUGUAACGGUUAGCAUGACUGGUUUUGAGCCAGUUCGUCGGGGUUCGAAUCCCUGUACUCCAU